CGAGCCGAAAGUAUUGGUUUAUCUACUUUUUCUGCUAAAAAAAGGUUCGGGUUCGAAUCCCGACGGUUCCA
rnacentral:tRNA from 1 species